rnacentral:tRNA from 1 species
GCCUCGUUAGCGCAGUAGACGGCGCGUCAGUAUCAUAAUAGAAUUUAGAAGUCUGAAGGUCGUGAGUUCGAUCCUCACACGGGGCA